UACAGAGGAUGCAAGCGUUAUCCGGAAUGAUUGGGCGUAAAGCGUUUGUAGGUGGCUUUUUAAGUUCGCCGUCAAAUCCCAGGGCUCAACCCUGGACAGGCGGUGGAAACUACCGAGCUGGAGUACGGUAGGGGCAGAGGGAAUUUCCGGUGGAGCGGUGAAAUGCGUAGAGAUCGGGAGGAACACCCGUGGCGAAGGCGGCCUGCUGGGCCGAUCCUGACGCUGAGGCGCGAAGGCGUGGGGAGCGAACGGG
rnacentral:rRNA from 1 species